rnacentral:rRNA from 1 species
AUUGAACGCUGGCGGCAUGCUUUACACAUGCAAGUCGAACGGACCUAGGGGCUUGCUCCUAGGUUAGUGGCGAACGGGUGAGUAAUGCAUCGGAACGUACCGUGUAAUGGGGGAUAACGCAGCGAAAGUUGUGCUAAUACCGCAUACGAUCUACGGAUGAAAGCAGGGGAUCGCAAGACCUUGCGUUAUACGAGCGGCCGAUGUCGGAUUAGCUAGUUGGUAGGGUAAAGGCCUACCAAGGCAACGAUCCGUAGCGGGUCUGAGAGGACGAUCAGCCACACGGGAACUGAGAAACGGUCCCGACUCCUACGGGGGGCAGCAGUGAGGAAUAUUGGGCAAUGGACGAAAGUCUGACCCAGCAACGCCGCGUGGAGGAUGAAGGUUUUUGGAUUGUAAACUCCUUUUGUGGGGGAAGAGUGAGGACGGUACCCCAAGAAUAAGUCACGGCUAACUACGUG